rnacentral:lncRNA from 1 species
UGGCAGGGGCAGUUCAAGUGGCCCGGGAAAUCAGCGAUUUGUAGGGUCAAGGGCUGGUGCUUUAAAAGAGAGGCGGAGGGGAGAGAGGGAUUUCCCGGUCUCUGCUGCACUCUGUCUAUCCGCUCGGUUACUCCUUUUCCUGGCCCGCGCGAACCCGCUGUGCCGCAGAGGCGGCCAUGUACCUUUAAGGCCCCGCUGCGCCUGCGCCUUGGGCUCUCCUGACGCGCCGAGCGGGACCCUGAGGAUCCAGCUGGCCGCAGGCUAUGGGCUGGGCGGCGGUUGAGACAGCGGCGAUAUUGGGAGGGGUAGGUGAGCGUCGCGAGGCAGCGUGAGCUUCUGAGUGAACGCGGUGCUUUUGGGAACGCGGGACGGGCGACCUGUGGCGCCAGGAGCGGGCCGAGGCGCGGCGGCGCGGCUGCCGUCUGGAUGGGAAGUUACGGUUUACAGCGAAGUCCACCCAGCGUUUCCGAGGUGAAGGCGCCGCGCCAGGCCGGGCGGGCGGCUGGUGAUGGGCAAGCCGGGUGUACCAAGUCCAGGAUGCACAUGAGGAGCGUUUGUAGCCGUCACUGAAUCACCUCAUGACUAGCGGGGCAGGCCUCUAAUUCACCGCAGGAUUUCCGAUCUCACUCUGUUGCCCAGGCUGGAGUGCAGUGGCACAAUCACAGCUGACCACAACCUUGACCUCCCAAGGCUCAGGUGAUCCUCCUGCCUCAGCCCCCAAGUAGCUGGGACCUACAGGCAAUCUGAAAGCAAAUCCUGUUUAGAUGCAGGCGAAGGUUCCUGGUGACCCAGGCUCUCACCUUACCGUCCCUUACCGUCCUCCUGAGGGUGUCCUGGAGCUUCAGUGCUGUGUGUUCUUGGCCUCCAUGCUGGGGGUGCCACCAAUUCCCACUGUCCAGGGCUUCCAGUGGACUCUCCGAGGUACUGAUGUAGAAACUUCCCCAUUCGGUGCACCAAGAGCAACCUCACACGGUGUGGGCCAAAUGAAGAGCUGCCAGAUCCCACAGAAAUGUGAUUGAUAAUAGUAAAGCCACACUCCUCAAGUGCCUGAAAUACCCCUCAUUGUCUUCUUCAGGUGGCAAGGGCUCUGGAACAGCCACAUAAAGGUGAGGGCAAUAUUUUUACUGUAGUUCUUUCAUUGAUUGGUUGAUUGAUUUUUUUCUCUUAGAGGGUUAGCAUACAUUUAUCUGAAAUUGAAAUUCAAGAGGAGAGACAGGCACCUGUACUAGUUUUCUCUUGCUGCCUAUUAUCACAUUACCACAAACCAGUGGUUUGAAACCACAGAAGUCUGGAAUGAAGUGGCCGGGUUCUCUGAUCAGAGUCAUGUGAGGCUAAAAUCCGGGAAUGGGCUGGCUGUGUUUUUUUCCUAGAGCUCAAGCUAUUUUUCCAGGUUCACUACAGAUAAUGAAAGAGUUCCUAUUCUAGUUUGUGGGGGACUGAGGGCCCUUUUUCUGUGCUGGCUGUCAGCGGGGAGACAGUCUACUCUGACUCCAGAGGCCACGUGCUUUCCUCCUUACCUGUCUGUUUCAUCUUUCAACCAAUAACAACUCAUGGAGUCCUUCUCAAGCUCCCACCUUCUCUGACUUCAUCUUCUCCAACCAGCCACACAAAGCUCUGUCAUGUAUGGAGUGAUGUGAUUAGAUCCAGUUCAUGCGGUAACCUCACCAUCUUAAAGUCAUAUAACUGGCAUAUAACAACAUAGUCACAGGAAUGGUGUCUCAUCACCUUAAGAGGCUUUAGAGACAAGGGUGUGGCAUGUUUGGGGACCAUUUCAGAAAUUCCAUUUACCACAGUAGGACACUCACAUUCCCCCAUCUGCAAAGUGCAUUUACCCUCUCCCCUGAGGUUUCCAGAUUUCAUGUCAUUAAAGCAUUAGUUCAACAUGAAAAAUGUCAUGUAGACCACAUCAGAUCAAAAGUUUAAAAUCCCAUCUAAAACAUCCACACCAGGUGUGAAUGAGGCUUCCGAGAGUGUCCAUUAAGUGCAGAUCCUUGACAUAAUUCCCUUACCUCUGUCGACCUGUGAAACUGAACAAACAGCUUAUCUGCCCCUAAUGUGAAAUGAUGGGACAGACAUAGAAUAACCACUACAGUGAUUCUAGUUCAAAAUGAGGGAACAUGGAGGGGAUAAAGAAGUCAAUAACCCAAAAUAGUUUGGAAAUGGAGCUGGGCAAAAUCCAGCAGGAGUUUCUUAGUUAGGAUCCACAGCCUGGGACUGACCCUCUGUCCUGUGGGUCUUUGCCUCUGGGCUCUCUGCUCUGCAUUUCUUGAAACCAUUAUUAUUUAUCAUUUUUCUCACACUGUUUUGCGUAUGGCUCCUAUUGCACUCAAAAUGUUUUUGAGAUUCAUCCAUGUUGUUUUGUGUGUCAAAAGUUUGUUCCUUUAGCCAUUCCAUGGAAUGAAUGUAUCACAGUUUAUUGAUCCAUUCUUGUAUUGAUAGAUAUUUGAAUGUUUCCAGUUUUUCCUAUUAUGAAUAAAACUGCUAUGAACAUUCUUGUAUAAAUCA